rnacentral:snoRNA from 1 species
CUGUUGAUAGAAUAGGUUCCUCUAGUUCUAGUUGUGUAACCUUCACUUAAGGUGCAAAAAUCAAAAGUUGUUGUGCAGCGUCGGCCAGACAACCGUAGAUAUGGAUCCACAGAUGAUUUGUUUGCAAUACCUCUCAUCUACUAAAUCUAUCUCACACUU